AGCCAGAGAGCAGUGAUUGGUCAGACCAUAGAUAUCGAUAGAAGACAGCGCGCUAGCGGAUCUAGUCUGCUAUGUGUAUCUAUGGCCAGCACGUCUGGUAGCAUCUCUGGCUGCUGUUGACCUGGUUUUUGGAGUAAAACACAGUGGAAGCUGAAUUAGUGAGGAUGACUCCUGCUCCUGUCAUCUCUAAGCUCCUCACACAUCUUUACCUGCACAUGAGGAAAAUCACUCCUGUAGAAUGCAGAUGUUCAGAGGGAGAUGAUGCCACAUCUGGUCCAGCUGAUGGAAGGUCUUGAAGUUCUCUGACUGGCCUCGACUGAAGAUGGUCGUCUCACUGGAUUUAAGGUUCAGAUGCUCAGUAACAAACUCCACCAAUGAGCCAACAGGGAAGCUUUAGGUUUAUUGAAUGUUGCUAUGAAGGUUUCACAGUUUUUCUUUGUGAAUGCAAUGUGCUCCAACUGAAACUUGAAUUAGAACUUAGAAGUAAAUCCUUCCAUCUGAAAGGAUUUAGUUGCAUUAAUAACCCCAUAACAUUCUAAUUUUUAUUCCAGUCUUGGUUGGAAAUAGAAUCUCUGUAUUGAUUCAGGUAAAAACUGAACUUCACAGCAUGUUGGAGCAAAACAACCAGAUGAAAACUGUGAUGGUGUUGGAUUGUCAGACUGUAAUGUUGCAGCUCAAAGCAGCUUUUCUGUCUCAGUUCAUUCUGACAUUCAGCUAUGAAUCAACACAGCAGAUGGUGAUCCAUGCUGUGGAAGUCUCACAUCUCCUGAUUUAAUGGAGCUGCUUUGCACUUUUUACACUGUUUAUUCACCAACACUUUAUUUUAUAAAAGUUCCAUCUAGUUUUUAUGAGGAAUGUGAUGUUUUAAUUUCUCUGUGAAUAACUGCAGUCUAAUGGAAGAGCUGGAACUGUAACAUCUGUCCUGAUAUUGAUCAUGAAGUAUUGAUCAGAAUACUUAUGGUCAGCAGUCAUCCCUGAAGUUUUACAUUAAAAUCUUUACUUGUGUUGUGAACUUUGGUAAGAAGCAGAAACUUUAGCGUUGCCAUGGAUACAUGAGUGUUAAAUUCUGUCCAUGUUUCCAUUUUGGGAAAUGCAGUCCAGCAGAUGAGUUUGUUUUUACUGCCAGCUACAUUCAGUCUGAGAUAUUAAGAAUAAAUAAAUGUGCAUAAUGUGGAAAUGAACAGAUUCUAUUUUUAUUUAUUCCUACAGCUGCUGCACGUAAAGUUCCAGAAUGUGGAGGAAUUUAGUCUCACAAUCACAGACAAUAAAUAUUAUCUGAAAGUUGGGUUAUUGUUGUUUAUCAGCACAAUACAAAAAGAUUCAUGUUAGACAUAUUCCAGUUAAGACUCUAGAAUAUCAUGAUUUAUGUAAAUUUACCUGAAUAAUAUGAAUGUUCAGGUUAAGAUUGUGCAGUGAUAUUUAUUAUGUAAGUUUAGCUGAUUAAAGUUUGACUCUGUACUACAAUAUUGUUAUUAUUAUUAUUAUAAUUUACAUCAUUAUUAUAAUAUUUAGGGUCAGACCCUACAGUAUUGAGAUUAAGAAAUCAAACAUUCUAUAAAAUGUAAAUACACUGAACUCAUUUGGAUAUAUUUAAGUGAGACUCUACAAUAUUAUUUGACACAAAUCUAUCUAAAUCCAAAUUUUAAUCAUUUUUACUCCAAACAUUUACUGGACUGAUUUAAAUAUUAAAAUCACUCCUUUCUAAUCCUCUGCUGUCUGUUCAAACCUGAGGCCUUAAAUAGAAACACACAAGUAUCUGAUUGAAGGAACUUCUGCAGAGUCCUGGUUCCACAACAUGAUGAUAGAAUUAUAGACAAACUUUAACAAAAGCUGCCUGAGAGUUUACAGGUUUUUAUGUUAGAUUUCUUCAGUAAUUUAAUAAGAGUUAUCAGCAAAAAUCAAGUGUUCAUUUGAUGAACUUCAUUUCCUAAAACAUCCAGAAUUGGAGCUCAUAUCUUUGGCAGCUGUAAAGUUUCUGCUCCUUCAAAGUUCACAACACACUGAAUGAAUUCCUAAAACAUUCUCAAUGCUGGAGAGCGUUUGUGAUGCUGAAGCAGUGAUCAGUUUUUCUGUUUCUUCUCUGGAGAUGCACAAUGAGGGACGUCUGCAGAGACUGAGAAAGAGUCUCACCACAUCCUGACAUGAGGAAAAAGACUUUAUUGAAGACUACAAUGAGAAAAACUAUCAGACAGCAGACGGCUGCAUUCAAGUCUGUAGCUGCUGAAUUCAUGGAUGAAUCAUCUGGCACUAGAGAGGAAGACCAUCAAACAUCCAUGUCAGCUGAUGGAGGUCCAAGAGUCUCACCCAACAAACAACCUACAGAGUGAAGACCUCCAAUCUGAUUGGACGGCCUCCUAUUCAGCCACAUUUUAGGCUGUUAGAUUGUUCCAGAUAAGACGAGUACAAGAUUCUUCAGAGCCGUUCUACCACGAGCCUGACAGGAAGAACUCCAACAGCUACUGAAUGUUCCUGUGGUCCCCUCAAGGCUACAGGAGGAGUCCUACGAGGACGAGCCGGUCCACCUGAUGGCGGCCAGUCGCUGCGGUUCAAAGCCAACACCGACUACGUGGACUUCUACUGGACCACACGGAGGCCUUCAAACCGGACCAACAAGUUCAGCGACUCCCCGACUCGUGGGUCUGAGGACGCCGCCGAGCCUCGGUCCAGCCGGCCUCCUGUCUGUGGGUGUUUGAGUGCUGAGAGGUUUGUGGAUGCAUGUGAACGUUCUGUGUUGAAACAGCAGCUUUGGACUGAGUAACGCCAGGAAAAACCAAGAGCUCCUUUAUUUGUGACUUCCACUAAAAAAACUGAUGAAAAUAAGUUUGCCAGGGUUCUGACUGAUAACAGAUUAUUAGAUAAUGAAAAUAAUUGUUUAAAUAUUCCUUUAAACAAUCCUUUUAGGUCUACAUUUCCUUUACACUGAAUUCUUGGUAUAUGUACAAGUAUUUUGGGUGGAAUAUACCAUUAAGCCCAAUGUUCGAGGGUUCUGGGAAUAUACCAUUACACCAACCUUUUAGGUAAAUGUUCCAAAAUGUUGGGUAGAAGAUACUAUCAGAUCAACCUUUUAGGUCUACAUUGGAAGAUUUUAGAGUAGAAUAUUACUCCAAACUAUCCUUUAGGUCUACAUUUAAGGUGGAAUACUCCUUUACACCAAGAUUUUUUUGGUCCACAUUGAAGGACUUUAGGUGGAAUAUUCCUUUGAACGAACUUUUUAAGUUUAUGUUCAAGGAUGUUGGGUGGAAUAUACCAUCAGACCAACUUCCAAGGUCUACAGUAGUGAAUUUUAGGUGGAAUAUACCAUUAAACUCACCUUUUAGGUCGACAGUGGAGGAUUUUAGGUGGAAUUUUCUUCCAAACCAUCUUUUAGUCUACAUUUAAGGAUAUUUAGGAUGGUAUGUUCUUCCAAACCAACUUCUCAGGUCUACAUUUCAGGUGGAAUAUUCCUCCAUACUAACUUUUUUGGUCGACAUUGAAGGAUUUUUUCUAAACCACCCUAUGGGGUCUAUAUUUGAGGUUUUAGGUGGAAUAUUCCUUUUAACCAGCCCCUCAGGUCUCUUUGAGGAUUUUGGAUGGAAUACUCGGUUAAACCAACAUUUUAGGUGCAUGUCUAAGGAUUUUUGCUGGAAUGUUCCUUUAAGGUGGAUGUGUGAGGACCUUGUAGGUGGAAUACUUCCUGAAACCAACCUUUUAGGUCAACAUUCAAAGAUUUAAGGUGGAAUAUUCCUUUAAACCAACCUGAAUUUCAUGUUAUGAUCAUUAUCAAGUGAGAAACCUCAAUCCAGACUCCUCAUAAUGACGUUUGAGAUUUAUGCUGCUGUUAUUUACUUAGUCCAGACUAAAUGACAGAAAUCCACAACUGUAAUUUUAUUUCAGGACUCGGUUAUUAAAUGUCAAAACAAUCCAUGUGAUUCUAAAAACUCAACAGCUUUACAAACUCUAAGAUUAAACUCUCCACAAGGAUCCAAAAUAAGUUUGACUGCUACAUGAGGGCCUUAAUUAUUCUUCAUCUACUUCCUG
ensembl:lncRNA